GCCACAUCACAUUGAAACACCGGUUCUCGUACAAUCACUGAAGUUAAGCAAUGUCGAGCCUGUUCAGUACUUAGAUAGGUGAUCGCUUGGAAAUACGAGAUGCAGU